rnacentral:rRNA from 1 species
UACGUAGGGUGCAAGCGUUGUCCGGAAUUAUUGGGGCGUAAAGAGCUUGUAGGCGGUUUGUCGCGUCUGCUGUGAAAUUUCGGGGCGUCAACCCCCGAACUUGCAGUGGGUACGGGCAGACUAGAGUGUGGUAGGGGAGACUGGAAUUCCUGGUGUAGCGGUGAAAUGCGCAGAUAUCAGGAGGAACACCGGAUGGCGAAGGCA